UAGCACAGAGUCUAUAAAGUUAUUUCAAAGUGAUUCAUGUUUAAAGUUACAUUGAUAUUAUUAAUGUUAGGGUGAUUAACAUAAAGUUAGAGAUAAACAUUGUUUCUCUUCUGUUGAACAGAACUUGGAGAAACUUGAUCUGUUGGAGAAAGCUCUUGAAGUUCAUAAAAGGAACAUUCACCUGGGCCACCGUGGACAAGCAGCUGAUGGACAUCUCCUCGGUCUGCAGAUGCAGGCUGAAAAUGAAAAAAUCUCAACUCCUCAAAUCUUCACAGAUGUCUCCUAUGAAAAAGCUUUCAACUUCCAAAUGAUAGUUGGUCAGGUUACGGCAUUCAGGAAUGGCAUUGUUCCAUGUUCUAGUCCUGAAGACCUGGGACUGUAUGACAUAAACUACGCUAUUAAAAACGAUCACAUGGAGUUUUUAGUGUCCUGCUUUGAAUAUGCUGAGACGGGCAGAGAAAAGAAUUCAGCAGAGAUGAUUAAAGCUGUGGAAGAUGCCAUGUUGGACAUGAGGACCCUGUUGGAAGAAAGAGCAAAACUAUAAAUAUAAUUCAGCCAUAUUUGUUUUUGAAAAAACAAAAUACCAUUUGUUGGGCUGAAACAGUGAAAUAAAAUCCAAUAAUCAUACAUUAUAAUUAUUAUAUAAAUGUGUUAUUUUACAAUAUACUGUUUUUAUCAAUAACUGUGUUUGAAGCCAGCUUCUAACUUCAGCUGUUUAUUUUAAAUUGAAGUGUUUAAAAACAUUGUUUUGUGUUCAUGUUUAUUGAAGUGUGUUAAAUACAUAAUUUUUGUUCAAGUUAAAGCUCUGCUGUGACUGUCUGAACUGAACUAAUGACUCAAUGCUACAUGUAAGAAACACAAGUGAUGGAAAGGGUUGUAUGAUUCAUGUAGGGAAAAGGGAAAGAGGGUUUUAACCAAGAUGCAAGGGGGUUGCAUGUUUGAAAUUUGAAUAUGUGUUGAUGGU